ensembl:snoRNA
UGGUCCGUCCUAAUCCCUCUCACUCAGCUUGUGACCUGCCAGGAUUGGCUUGUGGACCAGAAUGCCCUAGAAGUCCUGCUGCAGUUGUGCAAGGCCUCUGGGCACCUAUGCCAAUGGCACUUCUGGAAACAC